UACGGAGGGUGCAAGCGUUGUUCGGAAUUAUUGGGCGUAAAGGGCAAGUAGGUGGUCUAACAAGUUUACUGUGAAAUCCCUGGGCUUAACCUAGGAAGUGCGUCCGAUACUGGCAGGCUUGAAUCCGGGAGAGGGAUGCGGAAUUCCAGGUGUAGCGGUGAAAUGCGUAGAUAUCUGGAGGAACACCGGUGGCGAAGGCGGCAUCCUGGACCGGCAUUGACGCUGAGGCGCGAAAGCCAGGGGAGCAAACGGG
rnacentral:rRNA from 1 species